CUGCACACCACAGGUUAGAACUCGUUGUUCUAAAUCACCUUCCUAUUACAAUAACAUAGUGAAGUUCAUAUUAAAAUUUUAAAAAUUGUACCACUUCAAUCUGCUUAUAAAAAACUUUAAUUGCCAUCUUGAGCUUUUUUGGGCCAGAAGAAGCUGCUUAGUACAAAUAUAUUGAGAAAAAUAUAAAAAGUAACAGAAACAAGUAGACAAUACAGUGCAAUAUUUUUUAUUUAAAUGGACAAUUUAACAAGAAUAAAAACUAAUACCUUUUGGUGAUAUUUAUUCUUUUUUCUAUAAUUUCUACAUCUUAUUAUGUUUACAGGGAAUUGAGCUUUCAAAAAUGUCAAAUUUGAAUAUAUUUUUUAAGUUUAUAAAUUUUAAUUUUAAAAUAUUUAUUGAAAUUGUUUAUACAGGGACCCCUUUAAUAUUGGGAGUAUGUAAACACAACAAAUAGGAACCUACCUAUCUCUAAUCAAUUCUAAACAAUUCGGUGAUGGUAAAAUAAUUUUGUCAUGGGAUUUAUUGUCAUUCUGAUUUUUGGAAUUUUUAGGUGCAUAAUUGAAUGAGACAAAUUUUGCAUAUCUACCUACUUAGAUAAUUCACAACUUUGAAAGAGUAUCAAUGUGGCGAUAAUAGCUUUGGUUUUUUAAAUAAGAACCUACUUGAUUUAAUACAAAUAAUCAAUCUGAUGAUUUUUUUUGAAAAUUUAGACACAUUGUAGACGAAAUUUGAAAGAAAAGUUUCUGAAGUAGAAUUACUCAGAAACUUUUCGUUUUAAUUUUGGAUAAAAUAAUGUUAAUGUUAACAUUUUCAGAAAGAUCAUCAAAUUAACUAUUUGCAUAAAAAUAAGUAGGUUCUUAUUUUAAAAAUAGAUAAUCAAAAAACCACUCUGCUUUAACUCUAAACCAGUUGUUGGCGACCUUUUUGGACUUUUGGCCGGUAUUAGUAGGUAUUCAAAAGAUUUAAAUAAUUUCAUGGGCCGUGUCUGACUAUAAGUAUCUACUUAAUUAAGAUUUUAGUUUAUGAAAAAACCGAAAAAUCGGGGAAAUUUACAAAAAUAAUUAAUUUAUUACUUUAAUAUAAAUAAUUCAGUUAAAAAUAUUUGUAUAGACUUGAAAUUCGGACAGAAAACUUAUAUUUGC